rnacentral:rRNA from 1 species
AUUGAACGCUGGCGGCAGGCCUAACACAUGCAAGUCGAGCGGAUGAAGGGAGCUUGCUCCUGGAUUCAGCGGCGGACGGGUGAGUAAUACCUAGGAAUCUGCCUGGCAGGGGGUGAUAACGUCCGGAAACGGGCGCUAAUACCGCAUACUUCGUGAUGGAGAAAGUGGGGGAUCUUCGGACCUCAUGCUAUCAGAUGAACCUAGGUCGGAUUAGCUAGUUGGUGGGGUAAAGGCCUACCAAGGCGACGAUCCGUAACUGGUCUGAGAGGAUGAUCAGUCACACUGGAACUGAGACACGGUCCAGACUCCUACGGGAGGCAGCAGUGGGGAAUAUUGGACAAUGGGCGAAAGCCUGAUCCAGCCAUGCCGAGUGUGUGAAGAAGGUCUUCGGAUUGUAAAGCACUUUAAGUUGGGAGGAAGGGCAGUAAGUUAAUACCUUGCUGUUUUGACGUUAACAACAGAAUAAGCACCGGCUAACUUCGUG